UACAAUGGUGUCUGAAGACGAAUUAGCCUGC
rnacentral:piRNA from 1 species